UUGUGGAGAAAUCCAUAUCAUUCCAAAGGAUUCACAUACUUUUUCUUGCAACUGUUUAUAUAUUUAUUUUUUAUUUUUUUUAAAUUGGAGUAGCCCCCAAAAUAUUGGGACAUAUAAAAAAAAAAACAAAAAAAAACAGACAACUCUGUUCUACAGAGUAGCUGUUGACAUUAUAGUUGCGCAGGCACUUUGUUGACUCUAAAGAACCUUGGGCCAAUCGCACAUCCCCGUGGCGACGACUUUGCAUGUGGAUGUCAUCCAUAUCAACUUUCGAUGCCAGUUUCUGCGCCUACCAUGGUGACCACCGGUAACAGGGAAUCAGGGUUCCAUUCCAUAAAGAGACCCUGAGAAACGGCUACCACAUGCAAGGAAGGAAGCAGGCGCGCAAAUGACCCACUCCUGACGCGGGAAGGUAGUGACGA
rnacentral:rRNA from 1 species